rnacentral:lncRNA from 1 species
UAUAAACGUUUGGACCAUUAGCUUGCAAAGAGCGUGCAUGUGAGCACAUUCGAUACCCUCUGCAGGUCCUUGGAGCCACUCCGGAAGAGAUAGGGCCAUGCUUGCCAAUGUAUUUGCCUUGCUUCUUGUUGGCCUCGUGGUGGGUCAACGAUCGAAGAUCCGGUUGGGCCUCCGCAGCCGUACACGUUUUCAUACGACAUCACGAACGACUUCGGAACACGACUGAGCCAGACAGAGAAUGGGGAUGCGAACAACGUGAAGACCGGCACGUAUUCUUAUUCAGAGGCAACCGGCAUUUUCCGGAAUGUAAACUACAUCGCCGAUAAGGACGGCUUCCGUGUAACCAUCGACACCAAUGAACCCGGCACCAAGUCAUCCGCACCAGCUGAUGUGGUCAUCAACUCCCAGGCCGCCGACUUCGCACCACCCGCAGCGACCGUAGCCAACAGACCGGCCGCAUUCGUUGCUGCCCCGGCGCCACGACCGAGGGUGGUAUCGCAGACUUUCCAGCCAGCUGUGCGGUUCGUGGCUCCCGUCACCAACGCGCGGUCGUCUCCAUUCCAAGUCA